rnacentral:rRNA from 1 species
CCCAGACUCCUACGGGAGGCAGCAGUGAGGAAUAUUGGUCAAUGGGCGGAAGCCUGAACCAGCCAAGUCGCGUGAGGGAAGAAGGCCCUGCGGGUCGCAGACCUCUUUGGGCGGGGAGCAAGGCCGCCGACGUGUCGGCGGAAGGAGAGUACCCGUAGAACAAGCAUCGGCUAACUCCGUGCCAGCAGCCGCGGUAAUACGGAGGAUGCGAGCGUUAUCCGGAUUUAUUGGGUUUAAAGGGUGCGCAGGCGGCACGGCAAGCCGGCGGUCAAAUCGCGGGGCUCAACCCCGUCCGGCCGUUGAAACUGGGGGCCUUGAGUGGGCGAGAAGAAGGCGGAAUGCGUGGUGUAGCGGUGAAAUGCAUAGAUAUCACGCAGAACUCCGAUUGCGAAGGCAGCAUACCGGCGCUCAACUGACGCUCAUGCACGAAAGCGUGGGUAUCGAACAGGAUUAGAUACCCGCGUAC